ensembl:lncRNA
GGGGGGGGGGGGAGGGGACCUAUUAGUCAGAUUUUUUACUUUUUGCCUAGCCUAGUUUUGAGACUGUGCUGAAAGAAGAGACUUAAACUAUAUUUUGCUGUCAACAAAUCCCACUUAAAGAAAACCGUGGGUCUGACUAAAGACACUGGUGGGAAUACAGGUGCUAAUUAGAACCAUGUUGAAACUCCAGCUGAUCCUGAGACAAACCCCUUUUGGGUUGUUGAUUGAACCUUUUGUAAAAACUAAAAUCAACCGACCAACUUACCCAUAAACUGCCUGAGAAUAGUCAAGCGCAGCAAAUCUCAUAUCCUUAUUCUAACCGCUGAGAAAGUACACAUGACAGAUACUGUUCUCCGAUUGCUUGCCAAUGGAAAACUGUGUGUGGCGGAAGGAACUAGACUUAUGUUCCACUAGCUGUCGUUCAUGAAACUCACUGUGUUACUUUUGGCAGCAGUAAGCAACUUGAUUGGCAUAUUAAAACUCAGGUGUUCCUUUGGCACCGGGGGUCAUGGAAAUUGGCAGGACAUGUUGUUUCUAAACUGAGUCAUGGUUAAUAAAGGAGCAGAGUUAAUUAUUUACUCUAUGGGUGUUUUGUAUCCUCUACUGUAAAUCUGUGAAAAUGAUGUUCGUGUUUGUUGUUUCUUUUGGAUUCAUAUGGAUUAAAAGCUCAUCUGUGACUUAUUUUCAUGUAAAUUAAAUGUUUCCUGAAAUGCAAAUGAACACAUUUAGUUGAAAAACUGAACCGUGUGAAAGAUUCCUUGCCUGUGUACUAUUAAAAAGAUUCUCACUCGACCUCGUUGUAAAACCAUCAGGAGACAUAGAGUCUAGCCUACUCAAGCCUACUAAGAGGUUUUUAUCUUCGGAGCAGGACUGUAUAGUUGGAAGAACAGGGGGGUUCUGGGAAAAACCAGCAGUCGGCCUCGGAGACAAUCAUCUUUACCACCACAACAUUGUAAACAUCGACGCACAUGCAUCUUGUUUAUCAGAUGACACAGAACACCACGUGCCUCUAAGUGAGCACAGACUCUCUGUCGUAUGAAGGUAGAACAAUAAUGCAGUUUCAACAUUUCCCUCCUUUUUGUUUAACUAUAACUACUAAUUAAAAGGAAAACAUAAAAGAAUGUUUACUGCAUAAAACCAAGACAUAAAAAAAGAAUCUCACAUGAAUUACUCUCAUGUGUCUAAAACCAUUAAAAAAAAAAAUAUAUAUAUAUAUAUAU